rnacentral:rRNA from 1 species
UACGAAGGGGGCUAGCGUUGUUCGGAAUCACUGGGCGUAAAGGGCGCGUAGGCGGCUUAGUAAGUCAGGGGUGAAAUCCCACAGCUUAACUGUGGAACUGCCUUUGAAACUGCUAAGCUAGAGUGUCGGAGGGGAUGGCGGAAUUCCUAAUGUAGAGGUGAAAUUCGUAGAUAUUAGGAGGAACACCGGUGGCGAAGGCGGCCAUCUGGACGACAACUGACGCUGAGGCGCGAAAGCGUGGGGAUCAAACAGG